AGCGAACGCUGGCGGCAGGCCUAACACAUGCAAGUCGAACGGAUCCUUCGGGAUUAGUGGCGGACGGGUGAGUAACACGUGGGAACGUGCCCUUUGGUUCGGAACAACUCAGGGAAACUUGAGCUAAUACCGGAUGUGCCCUUCGGGGGAAAGAUUUAUCGCCAUUGGAGCGGCCCGCGUCUGAUUAGCUAGUUGGUGAGGUAACGGCCCACCAAGGCGACGAUCAGUAGCUGGUCUGAGAGGAUGAUCGGCCACACUGGGACUGAGACACGGCCCAGACUCCUACGGGAGGCAGCAGUGGGGAAUCUUGCGCAAUGGGCGAAAGCCUGACGCAGCCAUGCCGCGUGAAUGAUGAAGGUCUUAGGAUUGUAAAAUUCUUUCAGCGGGGACGAUAAUGACGGUACCCGCAGAAGAAGCUCCGGCUAACUUCGUG
rnacentral:rRNA from 1 species